rnacentral:lncRNA from 1 species
AGGACGCGGUCGACCCCACAAACCACAUACUCACACUGAAGAUUUUGCUUUCUCCUUUUUAUAUUCUCAUUUAAACAGGUUCUUUCACUCGCAACAUACUUGCUAUAGACUUCCAUCUUUUAUGAAACCCACUUUGCGACAGGCAUUUCUUCUCCAGCCUUAUUUUCUGUUUCAUAUGGAAAACGUAAAAGUCGAUUAGCUCGAGAAUGGAAAUGAACAUGCCUGUUGCAAUUCCUUUCACUCUCGUCUUCCAUACUACUUCUUUCGCCACAGCAACUACCGAGAGAAAACAGGCUCGCUCCUCCCUAUUCAGGGAUGUCGGCGGAACUAUCUUAAUUUUGCUUCUUUAUUACCCACAAGGGGCUAAACAUAGAGGGGACAAACAAGGACAGACAAAGGGAUUAAGUCGAUUACAUCGACCCCAGUGAAUAACUGGUACUUAAUUUAUCAACCCCGAAAGGAUGAAAGGCAAAGUUGACCUCGGCGGAAUUUGAACUGAGAACGUAGCGGCAGACGAAAUGCCGCCAAGCAUUUCGCCCGGCGUGCUAACGUUUCUGCCAGCUCACCGCCUAUCUUAAUUAGAUCGGUGGAACUAUCUUAAUUACAGAUUGGAGAGCCAUGAGACAGCCAGCCUGUAACUUUGCCAUUUAAAUAGGCUAUGAAGGUUCCGUUAACCAACAAGAAUGACAGUAGUAGUCGCAGAACAUAAAUAGACACCAAUGAACACACAG